UACGAGGGGGCUAGCGUUGCUCGGAAUCACUGGGCGUAAAGGGUGCGUAGGCGGGUCUUUAAGUCAGGGGUGAAAUCCUGGAGCUCGAACUCCCAGAACUGCCUUUGAUACUGAGGAUCUUGAGUUCGGGAGAGGUGGAGUGGAACUGGCGAGUGUAGAGGUGAAAUUCGUAGAUAUCGCAAGAACACCAGUGGCGAAGGCGGCUCACUGGCCCGAUACUGACGCUGAGGCACGGAAAGCGUGGGGAGCAACAGG
rnacentral:rRNA from 1 species